GUGUUUCACAAUGAAUCUUAUUGAGUUUUGAUGAUAACAAGGUAUUAAAAAUUGUCAAUUGGUUAUUACUAAUUAUUGUUCAAGUGUACAGGACCAAAGGCUAGUCAAGUAAUUUCAAUAGGUCUUGGAAGAACAAUGAAAAGCAAAAGAAUUCCAAGCAUCUGAAGAAAACUGCUCCUGAAGUUGAAGUGCUUCUGAAGUGAUGACGUCAUCAGAAGCAGAAGGUCAUCAGAAGCAAGGUUUUCAUCAGAAGCGAUAUCAUCACCAGAAGCUACAUUUAAUCCAUANNN
rnacentral:lncRNA from 1 species